rnacentral:lncRNA from 1 species
CAGGGGACGUGGAUGAAGCUGGAAACCAUCAUCCUCAGCAAACUAACACAGGAACAGAAAACCAAACACCGCAUGUUCUCACUCAUAAGUGGGAGUUGAACCAUAAGAACACAUGGACACAGGGAGGAGAACAUCACACAUCGGGGCCUGUUGCGAGGCGGAGGGAAAGGGAAGGAAAGCAUUAGGACAAAUACCUAAUGCAUGUGGGGCUUAAAACAUAGAUGAUGGGUUGACAGGUGCAGCAAACCACCAUGGCACAUGUAUACCUAUGUAAUAAACCUGCACGUUCAGCACAUGGAUCCCAGAACUUAAAGUAAAAUUUUAAAAAAGGACAUUUUAAUACAAUAUUACACAGAAAUAAAAUCAUUCAUCUAUUACCUAGAUUGUCAAGCAAAAAUUGUGAUAUAUUUGGAUAUAUUGUAUCAAAAUAACAAAUUUUUAGUCCUGAGUUUCAUAUAAGAGAAGAAAUAUUUCAAAGGAUAACCCUUAGUGGAAAAGAUCUUUCUUUUCCCCUGCCGUUGAAAACAUAGUGCUUGAAAGCUAUAGUGUAUCUCAUCUUAUAACAUGGCUAUGAUGAGAAGUUUAAGGUAAUUAUAAUACACAUACAUGUCAGGUUGUCUUUGACCCCCAGGUUUCAACUUUAUUAAAACGGAAACCCAGAUAUUUUCUGAGAAAAAAAUCUGCCUUGUAAUUUGAUGAAUCGACCAUUGUGUGGGUUAAUAAAUAUUCUAGGCUUGAUUUGUGAUAAGUCUUCUUCAUUUUUUGACUUCUGUGAGGUUUGGCCACCACUAAAUCUCACUAGGUUUCUUCUGGGGGAAGUUAGGCCUGCCUUCCUCAGAACCUUCUGCUCUUGUCAGCGAGUCUUCUUCAUUCAGUAUUCAUCCAUGACAUUGUUUAGGAAGGGUCAGUAGUCUGAGACUUUAUCUGUUUGACCCAAGCAAGAGAUUGUCAGAUCAGAAAAAACAGCCACAGCCCCUUGUCACUGCUCUGGUCAUAAGUUUAUAGUUCAGGCUUCUCUUUGCAAAGGAUCAUCAACAUCAACAUGUUGUUUCCAGGGUCAUAAAUUUGCAAUGUGAUGAGACAUAACCAGAUGUUGCCAAACGUGAAUUGACUCAUAAAGCAGCCUCUCUCCUGCUCUGUCUUUCUUCCCAACUCAGAGAAGCUGGUGGUCCAUUUAAUUCUUCAUAUCUAGCUUGGGGGGCUUGAUGGUCCAGAAUGAAGUCAAUCAUUUUCAGUACCAAUUAUAUUUUUCAAGCUGAAUACUGGUGUGGUCAUUAGCACCUACCCCACAGAUAUUUUCUGUGACUUGAACUCCUGAAUAGAAUUUACUGCCAUUCUUGGACAGACUUUUGUUUUAUCUUUUAGUUGUUGCAAUGGUGGCUGUUGUUAUGCUGGUGUUCUUUGUAUACAGCGAUGGGAGAAAAUGACAUGUCAAUCUACAGUCCUUGCUCCCACCCAACAUGUAUGGCUUGAUUUUACAUGAUUCCAAUUAUUUCAAAUGUGUUAGGACUUGUUUUAAUGCCCUAAGAUACAGUAAAUUUCAAUCAAUGUUCCAGAAAGUUGUUCUAGAUACAGCAAAUUUUUGAAGUUGUUUGGGUUUUUGCACAUUCCCCAGCAUUUCAAAGAUUUUAAAAAGUUGAAGCAACUUAGGCCAUGGAAGUUAAGCAAAUCAUACAAGCUCAGACCAUUUGUUACUCAAAUCCAAGGCUCCAGACUUCUGCUUGGGUGUGUCAUUGCACUUCUUUAGGAAACCAAUAGUUUAUAACCUGGACAUAGUAAAAAUGUGUAAUUGUAAUCCUAGCCCUGUAGAUAUAAAGCUAGGUUAAAUUUAAAGCAAAGUUCAUUCGAAGUAAAAAUAGACUUUAAAAGUCAGGUGUUCUAAGCCUUCAUGGUAGAUUAUUGUUUUUCUAAAUUCUAGUUUUCUAUUUUAUAAAACUAGAAUCAUAGUAACAAUAUAUCACUGUAUCAUAAUAUUAUUUGUAAAGCACAUCGAUUAGGAGUCCUCAUAAAAAGUCCUUUGAAUUAUCUAUGAAAAAGGUCUAUAAUGUUAUCUAACUUAUAAUUUUAUGUCAGAAUUUUUUUUUAUUCUUUUCUGUUCGUUCUUACUCUUGGUGGCAUGAUUAGGGUUGUUUCAGUAGCAAUUGGCUAUUCUUUUAUGACCAGCAGAGUUAGGAAAGAGUACAAGAGAAAAAUAGCUGACAUAAGAAUCAAGCAUCUUUAAGUAAAGUAAGAAUUCUACGCCACUUCAAUUUUUCAGAAAAAAAAAUGCUAACAAGUGAUUUAUAUAUUCUGCAUUGGUAAUUGUUAUUGUUUUAUUUUAUAUUAUUUAUGUUUUUCUUAAUUUAAGACUCUUUUACUUCUGCAGGUAUGUUUUCUUUAAAUAAAGCAUCGAUUUUGGGAGUUCUUGUUUUCUUCAGAUUAAAAUCUAAAAAUGGUCUUUAUUCUGUAAUUUUAGUUUUUCUCAGUACCUGAAAAAAUUAAAUCCAAAUUUUAUAUUUCAGCAAUCAUUC